UUAAUUCGAUGCAACGCGAAAAACCUUACCUACCCUUGACAUGUCUGGAAUCCUGAAGAGAUUUAGGAGUGCUCGCAAGAGAACCGGAACACAGGUGCUGCAUGGCUGUCGUCAGCUCGUGUCGUGAGAUGUUGGGUUAAGUCCCGCAACGAGCGCAACCCUUGUCAUUAGUUGCUACGAAAGGGCACUCUAAUGAGACUGCCGGUGACAAACCGGAGGAAGGUGGGGAUGACGUCAAGUCCUCAUGGCCCUUAUGGGUAGGGCUUCACACGUCAUACAAUGGUCGGGACAGAGGGUCGCCAACCCGCGAGGGGGAGCCAAUCCCAGAAACCCGAUCGUAGUCCGGAUCGCAGUCUGCAACUCGACUGCGUGAAGUCGGAAUCGCUAGUAAUCGCGGAUCAGCAUGUCGCGGUGAAUACGUUCCCGGGUCUUGUACACACCGCCCGUCACACCAUGGGAGUGGGUUUUACCAGAAGUAGUUAGCCUAACCGUAAGGGGGGCGAUUACCACGGUAGGAUUCAUGACUGGGGUGAAGUCGUAACAAGGUAGCC
rnacentral:rRNA from 1 species